UAAACUGCUUUGCAGGGGAAUAAACCCCGAUACGUGUAUCGGGCUGAAUGUACUCUGAGAAUAAGGAUCGGCUAACUCCGUGCCAGCAGCCGCGGUAAUACGGAGGAUCCAAGCGUUAUCCGGAUUUAUUGGGUUUAAAGGGUGCGUAGGUGGCCUGUUAAGUCAGGGGUGAAAGACGGUAGCUUAACUAUCGCAGUGCCCUUGAUACUGAUGGGCUUGAAUACACUAGAGGUAGGCGGAAUGUGACAAGUAGCGGUGAAAUGCAUAGAUAUGUCACAGAACACCAAUUGCGAAGGCAGCUUACUAUGGUGUUAUUGACACUGAGGCACGAAAGCGUGGGGAUCAAACAGGAUUAGAUACCCUGGUAGUCCACGCCCUAAACGAUGAAUACUCGAUGUUGGCGAUAUACGGUCAGCGUCUAAGCGAAAGCGUUAAGUAUUCCACCUGGGGAGUACGCCCGCAAGGGUGAAACUCAAAGGAAUUGACGGGGGCCCGCACAAGCGGAGGAGCAUGUGGUUUAAUUCGAUGAUACGCGAGGAACCUUACCCGGGCUUGAAAGUUAGUGAAUAAAGCAGAGACGCUUUAGUCCUUCGGGACACGAAACUAGGUGCUGCAUGGCUGUCGUCAGCUCGUGCCGUGAGGUGUUGGGUUAAGUCCCGCAACGAGCGCAACCCCUAUGUUUAGUUGCCAGCACGUUAAGGUGGGGACUCUAAACAGACUGCCUAUGCAAAUAGAGAGGAAGGAGGGGACGACGUCAAGUCAUCAUGGCCCUUACGUCCGGGGCUACACACGUGCUACAAUGGUCAGUACAGAGGGCAGCUACCUGGCAACAGGAUGCCAAUCUCACAAAGCUGAUCACAGUUCGGAUCGGGGUCUGCAACUCGACCCCGUGAAGUUGGAUUCGCUAGUAAUCGCAUAUCAGCAAUGAUGCGGUGAAUACGUUCCCGGGCCUUGUACACACCGCCCGUCAAGCCAUGGAAGCUGGAAGUGCCUUGAAGUGCGUAACCGUAAGGAGC
rnacentral:rRNA from 1 species